AUUGAACGCUGGCGGCAGGCCUAACACAUGCAAGUCGAGCGGAUGACGGGAGCUUGCUCCUGGAUUCAGCGGCGGACGGGUGAGUAAUGCCUAGGAAUCUGCCUGGUAGUGGGGGACAACGUUUCGAAAGGAACGCUAAUACCGCAUACGUCCUACGGGAGAAAGCAGGGGACCUUCGGGCCUUGCGCUAUCAGAUGAGCCUAGGUCGGAUUAGCUAGUUGGUGAGGUAAUGGCUCACCAAGGCGACGAUCCGUAACUGGUCUGCGAGGAUGAUCAGUCCCACUGGAACUGAGACACGGUCCAGACUCCUACGGGAGGCAGCAGUGGGGAAUAUUGGACAAUGGGCGAAAGCCUGAUCCAGCCAUGCCGCGUGUGUGAAGAAGGUCUUCGGAUUGUAAAGCACUUUAAGUUGGGAGGAAGGGUUGUAGAUUAAUACUCUGCAAUUUUGACGUUACCGACAGAAUAAGCACCGGCUAACUCUGUGCCAGCAGCCGCAGUAAAAC
rnacentral:rRNA from 1 species